AUAGCCCAACCCCAAGAUUUUUAUCUUCCCUAUUUCUCACCAACUCCUCAACCGAAUGAAAUCUUCUAGACCUCUACCCUGUACUUGCAGCCUAUCUUCCCUAUCCUUCUACUUUCUUCUUAUCUUCUUCUAGUUUAUUUUUGAAAUAAAAAACACUGUAGAUUCGAAAUCAAUGGUUUAUAUAAAGUUCUGUUUGGAUUAAAUUCUAGGAUUUUGGUAUAUAUCAAAUUUGCAAGUUUUGCUGUAAUAUAAGCUCUUAAUAUUGAUUCUGGGAAUUUUUUAUUAUUUUUAUUUGAUUAGUCAAUUUUCCUGGGUUUUGGUUUGAAGGAAAAGAAAAAUUUCAGCUCCUGAUCUACAGACGUUACUUCCAAUAACGUCUGGAUUUCAGUCCCUUAUCCCACCUUAAAUUCUAUUUCAGCUCCCUACCAAACACUUCUAAUCAUAUAAGAUGACUUAUACUAAUAGCACCUAAUCAUUUAAGGUGACUGAAAGUGUUUGCCAAACAGAGCCUUAGUUAACUAAGUUCAUCACUUAAGCUGCAUUGAUUUCCAUGAAUAUUGAUUUGACUAUAUUGCCACUGCCACUCUUCGUGAAACUAUAUCCAGUUCCAACAUUUUCAUGCAAUUUACUAUCAUGUUCCUUUGGCAGGGAAUGAUUGUGGGUAUAUAAGUCUUGAGUGUUUCCCUUAAUGUUUAAAGUUGAGAAGAUUUUUUUUUACCUCAUAAAAACAGUAACUUGGAAGCUUUUUAUUACGUACUGUUUUUUAUUCUUUUACCAAAGGGAGGAUGAAAAUCACUCAAUAAUUAUGCUCAAUUGCAAAUUGCUAAGAAUCCAGAUGUUUCUUAGCUGAUUUGAAUCAGAUAACAAAAAUAAGGGGUAAAAUAAGCAAUUCAUAAGCAACAUCAACAUGAAAUGAAGUAAGCAGGGGAACUUUAGAUUGUAUUUGCAGAUCAGUGUUAUCUAACCAGUUUUACAACCUACUCACACUUCGAGUUCAUAAUCUCCUAAUAUUUCUCUAUCUAUAUUCAGCAUAAGCCUUUCCCUCCCAAUCUCUAGCUAUAUAUUACGUCAUGCUCACCCUUCCCUUGCUUCCCGGUAUCCGACAAAUGAGAUAAUAUCCUCCCUCCCCUUAUUACAAAAGGCAGUAACUAACUCUCUGGUAAAUUUUGUUAGUUGCACAUACACUUCCUUCUUGCAUAAGUGCAUAUCACAGGAGACUGCAGGUGCCGUUGGUGGAAUGGAUGCAUCUCUAAUUCGUGUUCCUACUGAACUUGUUAAGCAGAGGAUGCAAACAGGACAAUUUGUUUCAGCUCCUGAUGUUGUGCGUCUAAUUGUUGCUAAGGAAGGAUUUAAAGGGUUACCGAUCGUUUCUGCUUCGAGAUUUGCCGUUUGACGCCAUACAGUUCUGCCUCUAUGAACAACUUCGGCUAGGUUACAAGUUGGCAGUAUUCAAUAAUCCGAGGGAGCAGCCUUUCACCUUUGAGGAGAUAGAUGAAGUUCGAGAAACGUUGGCAAACUUCAUUACCAGUGAUUGUUUUUUAUAUUUUCUUGUAUUGAAUCUUAAAUUAUGGAUGCUAGCUAGUUUUUCAAAUGAUUGUAAUGUAAUCUACUUUUAUAUUUACAAUUAUAUACUAUUUAAUUUAAUUA